GUUUUAGUGGAGUGUGGAGUGAGGGAUAUUCUUAGAAGAGGAUGAACACCAAACUGCUUGUUAUAGCUUGGCUAAGAUUUGCUGCACAUUUCCCAUGAGCAAGGCACUGUGCUAAGACCUUUGUAUCCCUGGGCAUUUGGUAUUACAGUUAAACUGUGUGCCUUUUGGCAAGCAAAUUUAGGAUGCUAUAUUGUGAUCUCAUGUCUGUAACAGCAUAUAUGAAGCAGAGAAGCAGGUUCUGAAGGCCCCUAGGGAAAACUGGACUUCGGGUGCAGCCUGGCCGGGGUGAUGGAUGAACAGUGACAGCUCCUGCCGAAGAGUAAACACAGAGAAAAAUAGAGGCCCUGGAGACAACCAUUUAGAAUGCUAG
rnacentral:lncRNA from 1 species